rnacentral:lncRNA from 1 species
CUCUGGACUGUAAAAUUAGGUAACAGUUGUUAUCUUUUUUCUGCGGCUUCUGGUUAGUGUAAUUACCCCUCUUUUGUUUACAGUUUACUCCGACAGGUAACUUAAAAUAACACCUGUUGAAAAAUUUACCUAACACUGAUGUAAACCAAUUACAAUAAUUAUAACCAAUAGGCUAUUUAUAUCUUAUUUGACAUUUCUUAAAAAAAUAUUUAAAUUUUCUACAUGUUUAAUUAUUCUAAAAAUUAUCCAUUUUUUUAUUUUUGAAAAGAAUGAACAUU